CCUACGGGAGGCUGCAGUGAGGAAUAUUGGUCAAUGGCCGCAGGGCUGAACCAGCCAAGUCGCAUGAGGGAUGACGGUCCUAUGGAUUGUCAACUUCUUUUGUCAGGGAGCAAUUGGGUCCACGCGUGGGCUUAGCGAGAGUACCUGAAGAAAAAGCAUCGGCUAACUCCGUGCCAGCAGCCGCGGUAAUACGGAGGAUGCGAGCGUUAUCCGGAUUUAUUGGGUUUAAAGGGUGCGUAGGCGGAAUAUCAAGUCAGCGGUAAAAAUUCGGGGCUCAACCCCGUCGUGCCGUUGAAACUGAUGUUCUUGAGUGGGCGAGAAGUAUGCGGAAUGCGUGGUGUAGCGGUGAAAUGCAUAGAUAUCAGGAGGAAUACCGUUAGCGAAGGCGGCAAUCUGGCUGGAAACUGACGCUGAGGUGCGAAAGCGUGGGUAGCAAACAGGAUUAGAUACCCCAGUAGUC
rnacentral:rRNA from 1 species